CUUUAGUUAUAACUUAAUUAAUAAUGAUUUGAUUUAUAAAUUUUUAAAGCAAUACAAGAUUGAAUUUAGCAUAAGGCUAAAUUUCUGCUCUGGAGACAAAAAAGGAAGACAGCGAAAAUGACCAGUCAAAAUAAAGAUUGAAGAGACAAAAAAUUGUGUAUAUCUUGGUGUAGAUGAUUUAUCCUCAUUUUCUAAUAAUAAAACAAAAAAUAUUAUUAAACUUUGAGAUUUACCUGUAACUCCAAAAUCUUUACAGAAGUUUAAUGUUUGCUCUGAGAAGUUGAAUGAACAAAAUUAUUAAAUGUCGUCAUUGAAGUACAACUUGGUAAACUACAAAACACAUCAAAUUCAGUUAUAAAAAUUUGAGUAACAAAGGUAUACUAAUUAUUGUAUUGCCUGAAAGAGUGUCAUUGCUAUUAAAAGCAGUGAAGAAUUCAAGUACUCCGGAAGAAAAGAAAAUACGUAAGUAAAUGGUCAAUUAUUUGGCACAAAUCAGAGUUAAAGACAAAGGAGAUUGUAUAUUUUAUUUGCUAAGAAUAGUUUUUUAAAAUGGCCUAGUUGUAAAUUAAACUAUGCAGGGAGAGGACAAAAAAUUGGAAUAGAAAAAAUAUUGAUUGCAUA